GGUUAAGUGACUAAGCGUACAUGGUGGAUGCCUUGGCAGUCAGAGGCGAUGAAGGACGUACUAACCUGCGAUAAGCCGUGAGCAGUCGGUAAGAGACAUUACGACUCACGGAUUUCCGAAUGGGGAAACCCACUUAGCAUAAGCUAGGUAUCGCUACGUGAAUACAUAGCGUAGCGAGGCGAACCGGGAGAACUGAAACAUCUAAGUACCCCGAGGAAAAGAAAUCAACCGAGAUUCCCUCAGUAGCGGCGAGCGAACGGGGAUUAGCCCUUAAGCAUCUUGGAAGUUAGUGGAACGGUCCUGGAAAGGCCGGCGAUACAGGGUGAUAGCCCCGUACACGAAAACAACCUUGAUGUGAAAUCGAGUAGGGCGGGACACGUGACAUCCUGUCUGAAUAUGGGGGGACCAUCCUCCAAGGCUAAAUACUCCUGACUGACCGAUAGUGAACCAGUACCGUGAGGGAAAGGCGAAAAGAACCCCUGUGAGGGGAGUGAAAUAGAACCUGAAACCGUGUACGUACAAGCAGUGGGAGCCCUUCGGGGUGACUGCGUACCUUUUGUAUAAUGGGUCAGCGACUUACAUUUUGUAGCGAGGUUAACCGUAUAGGGGAGCCGUAGGGAAACCGAGUCUUAACUGGGCGUCUAGUUGCAAGGUGUAGACCCGAAACCGGGUGAUCUAGCCAUGGGCAGGUUGAAGGUUGAGUAACAUCAACUGGAGGACCGAACCCACUAACGUUGCAAAGUUAGGGGAUGACCUGUGGCUGGGGGUGAAAGGCCAAUCAAACUCGGAGAUAGCUGGUUCUCCCCGAAAGCUAUUUAGGUAGCGCCUCGGACGAAUACUACUGGGGGUAGAGCACUGUUUGGGCUAGGGGGUCAUCCCGACUUACCAACCCCAUGCAAACUCCGAAUACCAGUAAGUAAUAUCCGGGAGACACACGGCGGGUGCUAACGUCCGUCGUGAAGAGGGAAACAACCCAGACCGCCGGCUAAGGUCCCAAAGUUCUGGUUAAGUGGGAAACGAUGUGGGAAGGCUCAGACAGCUAGGAUGUUGGCUUAGAAGCAGCCAUCAUUUAAAGAAAGCGUAAUAGCUCACUAGUCGAGUCGGCCUGCGCGGAAGAUGUAACGGGGCUCAAACCAG
rnacentral:rRNA from 1 species